rnacentral:rRNA from 1 species
GUGUCCGGCCGUGGCGCUCUCAUGUGAAGCUCCUCGACGAGUCGAGUGUUUGGGAAUGCAGCUCUAAAUGGUGGUAAAUUCCAUCUAAAGCUAAAUACCGGCCAGAGACCGAUAGCGCACAAGUAGAGUGAUCGAAAGAUGAAAAGCACUUUGAAAAGAGAGUUAAAAAGUACGUGAAAUUGUUGAAAGGGAAGCGCUUGCGGCCAGACUUGCCCGCGGUUGUUCAGCCCGUCAUUUGGCGGGUGCACUUGACCGCGGUCAGGCCAGCAUCGGUUUGGGCGGCCGGACAAAGGCCUUGGGAACGUAGCCCCUCUCGGGGGGUGUUAUAGCCCUCGGUGCAAUGCGGCCAGCCCGGACCGAGGAUCGCGCUCUGCUAGGAUGCUGGCGUAAUGGCCGUAAGCGGCCCGUCUUGAAACACGGACCAAGGAGUUAAAUACUUAUGCGAGUGUUUGGGUGUCAAACCCGUGCGCGUAAUGAAAGUGAACGGAGGUGGGAGCCCUCGGGCGCACCAUCGACCGAUCCUGAUGUCUUCGGAAGGAUUUGAGUAAGAGCAUAAUUAUUUUGACCCGAAAGAUGGUGAACUAUGCCUAGAUAGGGUGAAGCCAGAGGAAACUCUGGUGGAGGCUCGCAGCGGUUCUGACGUGCAAAUCGAUCGUCAAAUCUGGGUAUAGGGGCGAAAGACUAAUCGAACCAUUGCGAUCCAGCAACUAGAUGGUGAAGGGGCCGCGGCCCCAGUCCCCCUUUUAGUCAAGGGGGGCCACACUGCCAAAUUGCGGGGAACGCCCACACCAUCAGGCCACCGCCGGUCCCCCGCCAAAAAAGGGGGCCUGGCACCCGGGUAGCGCCCGGGGCACGGUAACAGCGUCUGGUGAGGGUCGAUCCGCAGCCCGCCCCCGGAUUCCGGGCGCGGGUUCACAGACUAGACGGCGGUGGGCGCCCGCUCAGGGCGCUUAAGGUAUAGUCGAUGACGCCCCGAGAGGGGCGCU